UUCUGUUGUUGCUCUCUUUGGAAAAAAAAAAAGUUGUGUGGCACCGUGAAACUCGCCUGGACAGGAUUCUGGCAAGUUGGAAGUUGGCUGAUCCGUUACUUGGCCUGGAGCCGUGAAGACGCAGCAGCCACACGCAUGUCACCUGUGUGACUGACAGCAGAAUUGAUGGCACGAGCUGACUGUUGUCACAGAACCGGAUGGCCCUGCUGACAGCCCAUUGACUGAAGAGAUUCAGUUGACAAUGCCAAAGCCAGAAGAAACAUCUAAACCAAAGAAAACGCCACGAGUGUCAAGAGUGAUGACUAUCUUACCCAGACCUUCACCCACAGAAAACCUCGGGGAAAGGAGUGCUCCACCAACCACACAAGUGAACUCGAACUUUCCAAAAGGAAGGAUUGUGACCCCUGUUGCAGCUGCGCCAGACAGCGGUGGAGGUAGUGUCUCCGAGGCAUUAUCAAACAGCUUUGCGCCAGUGGUUCCUGUAAAACUAUGGCGUAACCCAUAUGCAUCAGUCAGGGAUGUGCCCCCAGCGCCAAUGAUUCGUGUGAAUAAGCCUAGUACAUUGCAACACCCACUGGGUCAGUUGGAGGCAAACUUAGGCAGGCCAUCCACGCUGCUUGUGAAUAACGAGAGUAGCAUGCACUCCACUGCUGGCAGGAAUGAUGACACUAUUCUCGUUGUCAAGAAGAUGCAGAACGGCAGGACUGUGAUAACAGCACAACCGGCGAAAUCCGGCAGCAAGGGGCCAAGCUGUGGCGACAUGUCCCAGGAAUGUUCGCCUUGUCACGUAGGUGGAGCCUUGACUAAAGUGACAGCAAGCACCGUCAAGCUGACAACACCUGUAAAUAAUUUUGUGAAGAUCACUGCAAAUGCUCCAAAAAUGGCGGUCACAGAGUCACACCUGUCCGCUGCAGCUAUCCCAACUGUGAAGUCACAAGGGAGCUCAAGAGAGAGCAGCAGUCAAACAACCGGGAAAGUGGCUAAAUGCUCGACCUCAGUACAAAGCAGGCAUUCUCCUGCAGUCGUCCGCAUAACACCGAUGCAAGGCUCCACUAUGGGCAAGACACUUGUGGUUCCAUCUCAAGGAACAACGAUGCCCAUCAGUCCUGCUAUGAGCAGAAGCGAUGUUUCACCCACUGCCUCUAGCAAGCCAGUGGAUGUGGGGAGGCCUGCAGGGAAGCAGGAAAGAGUUGCUGGAGGGGUGCAGGAUGUAAACGAAAUGACACAGGCCAUUGGGUUUGCAUCUGGACAACAGCAAGAUGAGGAUGGCUGCGGCAUUAAGAUUUCAGACGUCAUCAGCUUGGCUGGAAAAGAAGGCCUGACUUUUCCUGAACUAGCUGUCCCACAAGAGACUGAAGAAAAUGAAUCACCUGAUGCCAGUAAUACGAAGAGUGGUGGUGAGACCUACAAGAAGCCUGAUACAAAUGGAGAUGAGGAAACCAACUCAAAACUUGAGAUGCCUCCACUCUCAUCUUGCAUGCUUAGUGUGGGGGCAAAUGAGUCAGAUGAGGAUGUUAUCGAGCUGUGUUCAUUCCAAGCAAAGACAGGAAAUUCUGUUAUUGGAUCCCAAAUUGUGUUCAAACCUGCACCUGUUCAAGGCAACGCAAGCAGAAGCACUUAUCCAAGUUCGAAGGUAGAUAUGCUGAACAAGCUGAAGGAGGCCAUCAAGGUACUUGAAGAGCCUACGCUUCAGGAUUGCAAUUUGUUUACUGAGAAAGAAAAGAGCUGGCUGACAUCUCUAUUACAUCGGGUCGAAAAGGAUGCCCGGGUUUCAGAAGCACGCAAGAGAGACGAACAAUGUUCAGGUGGUCGGAAUGUGGUGGUUGCUAAAAUAAAAACAGAGCCUGGAGUUUCAACUGACACCUUGCCUAUAAAACCAUACCAGCGGGAUACUGAACAAGGUUCAAGUGGUCUGAACAUGGUGGAUGCUGGCAAAGUUCAAGGAAAGUCACUGGAAGUAAACAGAAACAUUAAAAUAAAAACAGAGCCCGGAAUUUCACCCGACACCGUGGCUCUAAAAGCAUACCAAGAGGUCCCUCAACAAGUUUCAAGCAGUUUCAACACAACAUAUGCAGACAAGGUUCACCUCAAAUCAUCACAUGAUCACAGCAGAGGAGUUAACGCAAAAACAAGACCUGAACCUGAAUCUCUGCACCACUCGGUGCCCAGUGCCAAGAAUGAGGAUACAACUGUGCAACAAGAGAGUAUCUCUCAUAAACCUCUCCGUCGUAUCGUGAUCACUUCAGAUGAGCUUCCAUCACUCAGCUCUGAUGAAGUGAAAAAUGGACUUGAGGCAUUCCUCGUUAAGAACAACAUAUCCAACAAUUUUUCCAAAGAUGAAAUUAUCAAGCUGCACUGGGAUGGAAAAGACGUGAGCACAUUUCACUUUCGAGAUAUAGAUAGUGAGGAGCUGCAGCAGCCACCCAUAGGGACCGUAAAGACGAACAGACCUUCUAUUCUCAGGCCUGUGAAGGUGCCUCAACCUGCAGGGGGUAUUGGCACUGAACCUUUUACGACUGCUACGGAGACGAACAGCAAAGAAACAGUUUCUGAACCUGUGCUUUCUCAGGCUGAGAAAGUUGUGGAAGAGUUGAUGGUCCCCAUCGAUGGGUCUGCAGUGCCAGCCGGCUUUAAGGCAGUCAAGCUCAACUGCCGCACAGAUACUGGAGAGGUGGUGCAGCGUGUUGUCUUGAAGUCAAUGAAGCCUAUUCGUGUCAUUAACAGUACCACACAUCCUGAAAAGCAGAUUGGCUUCUUGCCUCGUGUAAUUCGAUUCAUAAAGCAAACCGGCGAAAUUACCGAUAAGCCUGUGAACCCACAUCAACAGAUUAUGCCAUUUCUGGCAUCUGCACAGGCUGCGAAUAAGUCUACGCCUGUAUGCACUGCAAAUGUGCCCAUCCAGAGCACACCAAGAACCUAUAGUUCAAGGCUGACCAGCCUCAUUAAAUCACCUGCUGCUGCUGCUGCUGCUAUAGUUCCUGCAGAAUCAGUCAAGCACUUCCUGUCUAAAAUGGUAACCAACACUAUGGCCUCCAAUUCACUAAUCAAGCAACCAAAACUCAUUGCUCUCUCAUCAGCACCAACAGCGGGCUGCCCUGGCAGCACCAUGCCUAUUACAGCUUCGAAAGUAGUUAGAGUCAAGCGCACACCUUCAGUGCCACUUGGGCCUCAGAGUUCACAGGCUGUUCUACCUGAAAGCGCAGUGCGUUUGCAGGCUGACCUUGCACCACCAAUAGCAUCAAAGCCCGAGUCCUCUGCUGAAGCUGAGGUUGCAGAGAGGAUAUUUGAGCCAGAAUGCCUGCUUGAGGAGAGCAACAAUACAUUGGAAGUUGCACCAUUAAAGACAGGAGGACUGAAUGACGACAGUUUGUCUGACACCUCCAGCACGAGCAGCUCAGAUGCUAGUGGUGACUUUGUUCCGCCAGUUGUAAAUAGAAAAAAGGAGCAGCCGCCAGCACCGAAGCGUUCGCCCCCCAAAAGAUCGACUGUAUUACGGGAAUACAGAACACGCAGGCGAAAGAGGCAGUGCAGAAAACAAGACCCCCGUGUGGUAGCCCCAAGUGCCAAACGCAAUGCAAGCAGCAAGAAUGAUAGUAUAAAUGUGGCCAUGAUGUCGUCAAACUGCAUUGACAGACCAUGUGUUGUGAGCAUGUAUCACCUGAAUGACCAAGUGCUUGCAAACGGCUUUGUGAACCUGACCACUGUCAAGCACGAGGACCUCUUUCUGUUGGCAUCCAGCCCGGUGGUGAGGUUAUCAUCAGACAAGCUGGUCUCGGUGGUUGAACUGAAGCCCCAAGCGUCGGACACUUUGCAGCAGAGUGCAGAGGUGUCCAGCAUUACAGAUACAGACAAUUUGGAGCGGUUGCUUAAGGAACAGCAAAACCAACUGGUACAGCUGCGCAAGAAAUACAAGAAGCUAAGCCCUUAGCUGCCUUAGGUCUAUCUUAAACAGACCAAUGUGUUUGUGCAGGACAAUGAAGCUGCAUCAGAUUUUUUUUUUAAAUUUCCCCCAUACGGCAGUGUCGCAGACUAGCGCCAGCCAAGCUCAGUGUCUUACAUGAGUGACUCGUGUGGUCAACCAUUCGGUCAUGGACCAGAAAUGAGAAGCUCUUCGACGACACGAAGGCCUUGUGGAGAGCAGAAUGCCUCCCAAGUUUUAUGCACACGCUUGUCCCAUCUUUAUCUGUGCGUGGAAUUUUUUAGCGCUUAUCCCCUCUCGGCUUAUCCCCUCCCAUCCGGAAUUGGGUCGAGGCGCUCCAUGAGUGGGGCCACAAUGUUCUGUGCAUGGGAGAGGGGAACACCCCCAUGGCAAACCCCUGACUAUGCUAAUGUCCCGUACAAUUUCUUAUAACACCCCGAGCAAAAUCUGGUACAUAAUCUCUGCAAGUUUAUUAAGUGCACUGUGACCCCAUGAAGUUGCCACGUUAUAGAAAAUUCGACUUGGAUUUGCCGUUGUGUAAAAUAUGAGACGUGGCUGUGCAAGUAGCAUAUUCUUGAAUAGGAGUGUUUAAUAAAAGCGUGUGUAAGUGGUGUAUUUUUGGAAACAGUACAUCGGUCACAUCUACAGUGGCAGGUUCAUAUACACUCGUUGCGGAAAUGUUGCGGGUUGCAUUGGUUUUGUUGAUGCAGUGUGUGUGCUGGUUUUAUCUGCAUGGAUAAUAGAGAGUUUUACAUUAGGGGGACGCAAGCGUUUUAGUAUAUUGCGUACGCUAUGAAAUAGCGGGUCAUCACUGCGCAUGCGCAGAACGCUAUCCGACCGAUAGCGCAUAGCGUACGCAAUAUAACUUAUUGCGUACGCAUGGCGUACGCAAUUUACCGUCUUUGCGCGAUUUGCGUAGUUUACGUAAAACAUGGCGGCGGUCCCCGCUGCCCGCUUCGAAUUGAAUUUGGCGUGGCUUUGUAGAAUUCGCUUCUUUCGUAGCAAAUGACUGCG